UUUAAAUGUUAAGCUCGUGGACACGGUCGGCUCUGAGUUCAAUGCUCGAGCAUUAUAGGCGAGCACUUCCAGAAAUUCUCCGAACCGUAACUUUAAACUUAACUUUAUUACAGUCGCUUAGUGUUUAUACAAGUUUGUACAGCACUUUCUCGUUAAGCAGAGGAACGUAUUUCGUUGUUUUCUGCGAAUACCUAACAUUUUAUCCAACACGCCAGCACGACACAGUGAAUAAUCAAAAGCUGGCCGUCUUCAGCUUCCCAACAUAUUUUGCAUUCCAUUAAACAACAGUGUUUAAAGCACUUUGACAGUAAUGUCACUUUUUAAACAAAACUCGUUACAUGUUUCUUACUAUUCUGUUAGACCUCCAAAGCUAUUAAGUAGUUGUUGCAAGCAAUGACGUUUGAGUCUCGGAACAGUGUCGAAGUGUGCACUGGGAUGAGAAGACGAAUGGACAGGAAACUGAACUUUCCAAAGGAAGUCCUUCCUGUCUGUUGUGCACUGGGAUGAGAAGACGAAUGGACAGGAAACUGAACUUUCCAAAGGAAGUCCUUCCUGUCUGUGUGAGUAAAACCCGGC